GAUAUCAAACAGUUUUGUUGUAGAUGAGGAGGCGUGUGCCGACAAUCGUUCGUCCCUUCGGGGACAUCCGAUAAAAUUGGAACGAUACAGAGAAGAUUAGCAUGGCCCCUGCGCAAGGAUGACACGCAUAAAUCGAGAAAUGGUCCAAAUUUUUUUGAGAAAUUUCAGUCAGGUUUUGUGGAUGAGAAAGUUGAUUUUUGCGGGAUGGAAGUGUUUCAGGGUUUGCUUGAGUUGGUUGUGAUGUACUCAUUACGGUGAACAAAGGAGGAUUAGGCUUUGCAGCUGGAGCUGGUGCCGGUGUAGGGCAGAAACCCUUCGGCUGAGGGUGGAAGCGGACGUCGGAAACCUUGUUAAUAAUUUCGGAUUCUUGGUUAAUGUGGCUUCGAUUGUCUUUGACGCUCGUUAUGCUGGCAAAAUAGGUAGAAACUAUUUGAUAACAUGCAUAGUUGAUUUGUAUAUAUAUGCAAAUGUACUUCAGAAUGAGAACUUCCUGAGGCAGACCAUAUUUAGGUACUUGGUUUUUUAAUGGUUGAUUUAGAAGUGUAAUGAAGGUAAUUCAGUAUAUUUCUUCAUAUAUUUUUUGUUCGGGAACAUGGCAUUUGGAAAAUUAGUGUUCUUGGUGUAAUUUCCUUUGCGAAUGUUUCGCUGCUGGGCAUGUUAAUAAUAUGUGAUGUCUAAGAUAGUGAAUUUCAACUGCAAGAUAUGUAAAUAGGAAAAGAUAGAGUAAAAUGUGGACUUGAGUUUUAGAUGUAGAUUAAUAUGAUGCUGAAAAGCUCUUUCUUCUGAAUGUGAUAUGGGACUCCAGAGUGUUCUUGCAUCUUCUUUUCUUUCUAUCUUCAGAAAGUCGAGAAUUCUGAAAUGCUCAAGAGGAUGGUGGGAAUAAGAUAAAGAUUUCAUGUAGUUUGGUGUGGAAACGUUUGAUGAAUGUCACGCAUGGUGAUCAAGCUAACAUACUGAAUUUAUUGUAGUCGGUAGAAACACGUUGGAUAUGAAAACAUUAGGUUCAGAGUUCUUCUAACAGAUUUCUUAAUCCCGGUAGAAGUGCUUUCUAUUUACUUCCCCAGAGCCACUGUGCGGGUAUUCACUUUUGCUUAUGGUAUCUCCAUUGUUCACAUAGCCUGGAUGCCCGUAGAGAUCAAUGUAUAGGAACCCUAGCUAAAGACUGAUGGAAAAUAAAGUGCAUAUCAGCGAAUGUUGACUGAUAUCCUGUGAAAACAUAUGGAACAGUUGAUUGUUUACAGGCAGGUAAAUACGCUGCUAGUGCCAUCCACUUCUGCUGCAAUUUAUAUGUUUGCAAGUUCGAAUAGAAUGAUACACUGCAACUGUAUCUAUAACUCACUGCUUAUCAACUCUUGGGAAGCUGCCGUAGAUUUUGUUGGUAAAUCUUCCAGAAAACACGCCUCUUAGAUGUGUUAUCUUCUAUCGUUUGUCAUUUUGGUUGUUAAGUGCAUGUAUUGUUUGUCCAUGACUCAUCUCAUUCUUAAUCUGAUAACAUCUAGUUGCAGAGUUGAAGAUUAUUGCAUUUUGCAAUACCUUGAUUUAUUUGUUCUUUUAAGAGGGAAUCUUCCAUGUAUAAUAUGGGCUAAGGUACUAAGAAUCACAGUAUAAUGCUUGCAGCAACACUUUCUCCAAAAUACAACAAUGUAUUUGAUUUCAACUUCUUCAUGAUAAGCCACGGCCUUCUGCCAGUAAAACUGACUAAAUCUUUAAAAGAAAGAAUUAACUUUCUAAUGUACUAGAGCAUUCAAGGGUCGUUACUUAGCAAUGGAUAAAAGAUGAUUUUGGGGACCGAAAAUUAUAAACAAAAUCAUGCAACCUAGGAUAUAGGGUUCAGAAGUCAUGUGGCCUUGAAAACCAUCUUACGAAAACCAUUUUAUGAGUCAUAAAUGCAGUACACAAUCCAAGGGGUCAAAGUCCCAAGAAUGAAGGCAAUGGAUUCAGGGAAAACUGGGGGCUCGGCAAGGGGCGUUUGUGGAGGACUAUUUGGUAUCUGAAGGAGAAGUGCAAGCUAUAAAUGGACGGUUAAUGAAUCACCAGAAGCGAAGUUCCAAGGAUCUAUCAAGAUGGAGAUGUGUGCCUCCACAAUGGCGAGAAACAUCCAUUACAUCAUCUUCUUUCCUUUUUGGAUAAAACACGAGCAGAACAUGCAAACACCAAGACUUGGUCCACCCAGAAACUUGAAGGAGCAUGGCCUUUCGAAUUGAGAUGCCGAGAGUGGAGGAGUUCAAUAACCUGGCAGAAAAUAGAAAUGGUACCUUUGCUUGGAGAUGAAAAUGCUGCUAGCCUACCGGAGCUUGAGUCACAUUGCUGCUUUUUCAUCAUACAAAUGAGGAUUCCUCCACGUUCACCAUUAUUGUCCAGUUUCACAAGUAAAUAGCUCGUAUAGAUUCUCAGGUAACGGAGUGAUAUACAUUGUGAUUCAAUCACUCUUGCAGUUUGUACCUAUCAUCAACUUUCUGCUUUUUGUGUAUCAAAAAAUUUUCAGGCUACACUGAUACUUGUUCUGUACUCAUUAAGCAGAAGUCUGAAUUUGUGUUGCACAUCCAGCGCCACCAUGGCAAUUGCUACAUAUUAUUACCUAAAUCAAGAAACCCCAUACUUGUUGCAGGCUAUCAAUCCAUCCAUACUCACUCUUGGUUCCAACUUAUACAGAAAUAAAUCUUUUUAGUGUCUUCUUGAAUUUCGAAUUUGAU